ensembl:lncRNA
GUGAAUCUCUACCUGAUAAAAGUUGUUAUUUUGAUGUUUUUCCUCUAAACUUGAUGUCUUCCUGCAGAUUUUGGUUUAAUUUCUCAGUUUUUCCUCUAAAUUUAGCAUCUUCCUGCAGGUUUCAGGGUUCUCGGGAUGAAUCCCUGCCUGAUAAAUGUUAUAAUUCUGAUGAUUUUCCUCUAAAUUUAGCAUCUUCCUUCAGGUUUUGGAGUAAUUUCUCAGUUUUUCCUCCAAAUUUAUCAUCUUUCUGCAGGUUUCAGGAUGAAUCUUUACCUUAUAAAAGUAAUUAUUUUCAUGUUUUUCCUCUAAAUUUAACGUCUUCCUGCAGGUUUCAGGAUGAAGCUCUAC